ACAGCAGCAGCCGCGGUAAUACAGAGGGUGCGAGCGUUAAUCGGAUUUACUGGGCGUAAAGCGUGCGUAGGCGGCUUUUUAAGUCGGAUGUGAAAUCCCUGAGCUUAACUUAGGAAUUGCAUUCGAUACUGGGAAGCUAGAGUAUGGGAGAGGAUGGUAGAAUUCCAGGUGUAGCGGUGAAAUGCGUAGAGAUCUGGAGGAAUACUGAUGGCGAAGGCAGCCAUCUGGCCUAAUACUGACGCUGAGGUACGAAAGCAUGGGGAGCAAACAGGAUUAGAUACCCCGGUAGUCCCUGUCUCUUAUAA
rnacentral:rRNA from 1 species